rnacentral:rRNA from 1 species
UUAGCUGUACGAUCGUGACCUGCGGAGGGAUCAUUA